UACAGAGGGUGCGAGCGUUAUUCGGAAUCACUGGGCUUAAAGGGUGCGUAGGCGGGCGGUCAAGUCAGGGGUGAAAUCCUCCAGCUCAACUGGAGAAGUGCCUCUGAUACUGGCCGUCUCGAGGGAGGUAGGGGCGUGCGGAACUUCCGGUGGAGCGGUGAAAUGCGUAGAUAUCGGAAGGAACACCAGUGGCGAAAGCGGCGCGCUGGACCUCUUCUGACGCUGAGGCACGAAAGCCAGGGGAGCAAACGGG
rnacentral:rRNA from 1 species